AUGACUUUGAAGGAAAGUAAAGAGAAGGCGGAGGAGGAAGCACUGUUAUUAUUAUUUUUUUCAGGACAAAGCAAUGGAGACUCGGUGACCCAGACAGAAGGCCAAGUAACCCUUUCACAAGGGGCAUUCCUGACUAUAAACUGUACUUAUAAAUAUACAGGGUACCCUGAUCUUUUCUGGUAUGUCCAAGAUCCUAGAGAAGGUCCACAGCUCCUCCUGAAAGCCUCGAGUGCCAAUGAGAAUGGAAGCAACAAAGGUUUUAAAGCCACAUACAAUAGAGAAACAACCUCCUUCCACUUGAAGAAAUCCUCAGUCCAAGAGUCAGACUCGGCUAUGUACUACUGUGCUCUGAGUGACACAGUGACAGGAACUGCAGGGGGGAGCUGAGCACAAACUCUGAGCAACAGCAAGGGGCCUGGCUGCUGAGUGUCUGACUCUGUGAUCUGCUCACAUUUAGGGACCAGGAACUGGUCGACUAUUCCUGUUGCCCACCAUCCACCCAGGCACUUUUGUUGGUGUGAAAGUCCUCCAAAUCAACUCUAAGA